rnacentral:rRNA from 1 species
ACGCUCGACACCUCUGGAGGCAGCAGUCGGGAAUAUUGCGCAAUGGAGGAAACUCUGACGCAGUGACGCCGCGUAUAGGAAGAAGGUUUUCGGAUUGUAAACUAUUGUCGUUAGGGAAGAGAAAGGACAGUACCUAAGGAGGAAGCUCCGGCUAACUACGUGCCGCAGCCGCCGGUAAGUACUGAGCGGGCGUGGCAAGGACG